rnacentral:rRNA from 1 species
UACGGAGGGAGCGAACGUUGUUCGGAUUUACUGGGCGUAAAGGGUGUCUAGGCUGUUUUGCAUGUCAGGGGUGAAACGCCUCGGCUCAACCGAGGAUCUGCCUCUGAAACUGCAGAACUUGAGGCCGUGAGAGGAGACUGGAAUUCCUAGUGUAGCGGUGAAAUGCAUAGAUAUUAGGAAGAACACCAGUGGCGAAGGCGAGUCUCUGGCACGGUUCUGACGCUGAAGCACGAAAGCUAGGGGAGCAAACGGG